UACGGAGGUUGCAAGCGUUGUUCGGAAUAACUGGGCGUAAAGGGAGCGCAGGCGGCUUGGUAAGUCUAAAGUGAAAUCCCAGGGCUCAACUCUGGACGUACUUUGGAUACUGCCUGGCUUGAGUACGUGAGAGGAGAUUGGAAUUCCAGGUGUAGCGGUGAAAUGCGUAGAUAUCUGGAGGAACACCGGUGGCGAAAGCGGAUCUCUGGCACGUUACUGACGCUGAGGCUAGAAAGCGUGGGGAGCAAACGGG
rnacentral:rRNA from 1 species